CCCGGCGACCGGCGCACGGGUGAGUAACACGUAUGAAACCUGCCCGUAGCAGGGGGAUAAGCGGAAGAAAUUCCGUCUAAUACCGCGUAACAACCCAUGGAGGCAUCUCUGUGGGUUUAAAGGAAGCGAUUCCGGCUACGGAUGGUCAUGCGGUCGCAUUAGCUUGUUGGCGGGGUAACGGCCCACCAAGGCGACGAUGCGUAGGGGUUCUGAGAGGAAGGUCCCCCACACUGGUACUGAGACACGGACCAGACUCCUACGGGAGGCAGCAG
rnacentral:rRNA from 1 species